rnacentral:misc_RNA from 1 species
GAUGAAGAACGUAGCGAAAUGCGAUACGUAAUGUGAAUUGCAGAAUUCAGUGAAUCAUCGAGUCUUUGAACGCACAUUGCGCCCCCUGGUAUUCCGGGGGGCAUGCCUGUCCGAGCGUCAUUGCUGCCCUCAAGCACGGCUUGUGUGUUGGGCCUCCGCCCCCCGGCUCCCGGGGGGCGGGCCCGAAAGGCAGCGGCGGCACCGCGUCCGGUCCUCGAGCGCAUGGGGCUUCGUCACCCGCUCCGUAGGCCCGGCCGGCGCCCGCCGGCGACCCCCCUCAAUCUUUCCAGGUUGACCUCGGAUCAGGUAGGGAUACCCGCUGAACUUAAGCAUAUCAAUAAGCGGAGGA